CAAUAGCGUAUAUUUAAGUUGUUGCAGUUAAAAAGCUCGUAGUCGGAUUUUGGCUGAGAACGAACGGUCCGCCGUUAGGUGUGCACUGUUUGGUCUCAGCUUCCUGGUGAGGAGGUGUGCUUCACGGCCACUUAGUCACCGUGGUUACUUUGAAAAAAUUAGAGUGUUCAAAGCGGGCUUACGCUUGAAUAUAUUAGCAUGGAAUAACACCAUAGGACUCCUGUCCUAUUUCGUUGGUCUCGGGACGGGAGUAAUGAUUAAGAGGAACAGUUGGGGGCAUUCGUAUUUCAUUGUCAGAGGUGAAAUUCUUGGAUUUAUGAAAGACGAGCUUCUGCGAAAGCAUUUGCCAAGGAUGUUUUCAUUAA
rnacentral:rRNA from 1 species